rnacentral:rRNA from 1 species
UGGGGAAUAUUGCACAAUGGGCGCAAGCCUGAUGCAGCCAUGCCGCGUGUGUGAAGAAGGCCUUCGGGUUGUAAAGCACUUUCAGCGGGGAGGAAGGCGUUAAGGUUAAUAACCUUGGCGAUUGACGUUACCCGCAGAAGAAGCACCGGCUAACUCCGUGCCAGCAGCCGCGGUAAUACGGAGGGUGCAAGCGUUAAUCGGAAUUACUGGGCGUAAAGCGCACGCAGGCGGUCUGUCAAGUCGGAUGUGAAAUCCCCGGGCUCAACCUGGGAACUGCAUUCGAAACUGGCAGGCUAGAGUCUUGUAGAGGGGGAUAGAAUUCCAGGUGUAGCGGUGAAAUGCGUAGAGAUCUGGAGGAAUACCGGUGGCGAAGGCGGCCCCCUGGACAAAGACUGACGCUCAGGUGCGAAAGCGUGGGGAGCAAACAGG